rnacentral:rRNA from 1 species
CAGGACUUGACAUCCCUCUGACCGGCGUGUAACGGCGCCCUCCCUUCGGGGCAGAGGAGACAGGUGGUGCAUGGUUGUCGUCAGCUCGUGUCGUGAGAUGUUGGGUUAAGUUCCGCAACGAGCGCAACCCUUGUCAUUAGUUGCCAGCAGGUUAAGCUGGGCACUCUAGUGAGACUGCCGGGGACAACUCGGAGGAAGGUGGGGAUGACGUCAAAUCAUCAUGCCCCUUAUGCUCUGGGCUACACACGUGCUACAAUGGCCGGUACAGAGAGACGCAAUGUCGUGAGGCGGAGCAAAACUCUAAAACCGGUCCCAGUUCGGAUUGCAGGCUGAAACUCGCCUGCAUGAAGUCGGAGUUGCUAGUAAUCGCGAAUCAGAAUGUCGCGGUGGAUGCGUUCCC